UGAGAUUAAAGGCCAAAGUAUCUUAAAAAAC
rnacentral:piRNA from 1 species